AUGCAUGUGUCCGGCUGCGCUGAGCGCCUGGCCCCGGGAAACAUCCCCGGGGAACAGGGUUUGGGAAGGCCUGUUCUGGUUGGCAUGGUCCCUCCUGGACAUUUCCUCCGUUUCCGACCAGCUGUGGAGACUGUCGCGGGGUUCUCUCUGGCUGACCUUUGCUGUGGUGGUCGCACCAGGGAAGGGCGUGAAAUCUGGCCCCGCUGGACAUUGACAGCCACCUCGCUCAGUGCCUGGCGGGAAGCACAGAAGACGUGGUGUGGUGAGCCGACAGCCCUGCGAGUCCAGCCAGGCGGACGCCCAGACUCCCUCUGCCUGAACCGUGUCCUUCCCGCUUCGACCGCUGUAGUAAACUUCAGUGUGGACCCCGGUGUUGUGUGUUUGUAUCGGGAGCGAAACAUGGGCCCCUUUGUCUUUUCGGAUUACGUUAAGCCGAGUGCUCGCCUGCCGUUCGAACUGGCAGAGCCGCUCAGCAGAGGGACCCAGGCCCAGGUGGAGGAGCUGAGACUCCGGAGCAGAACUGGCCGGGUCUACAGAUGGGCCGUCGGCGGGGUAGCACGUUUUCCCGUCUCCACGGACUGCACUCGCACCGGGUUUUAACUCCCCGAGGAACUGCUCCUUAUGCGGGGCAGGCCGCCGUGAGGCGCCCGCGCAGCUCACCGACGGGCGGGCGGGGACCAGCGGGAGGGACCGGGCCAGGCGCCACGGGCAGCAGGCAGGCCANNNNNNNNNNNNNNNNNNNNNNNNNNNNNNNNNNNNNNNNNNNNNNCUUCCCAGGGCAAGUAGAAAAUGGGGCACAAGACUGUUUAUAGGUAGUUUUCCUUCCAGUGCUGCCGGCCCACAGAUUCUGGAAGAGCUGGGCUUUGGUGGCAUCCACCGUGGCCGCAGAGCAGUGGCGGCAGGGAGCCGGUCACGAUCCACAAAGAGACCGUGGAGGAACCUAACUGCAGGUGACCAAGGGAAAGACGCCUGUCUGCAAAGGCCGCACGCUGUAUGACCCUCGCUCUAGGGGCUUCUGGAAAAGGCAGAACUGCAGAAACAGUAAGGAGACCCGUAGUCACCCGAGGACGCGCACAUGGGACUUUCGGGGCAGCGAGGCUACUUGCGUGAUCUGCACUGGUGGAUACAGGUCACCAUUUGUCCCAACCGCGCUCUGCACCCCCAAGACGUGAACCCGGCGUCGUGGGGACGAUGACGUGUCGGCGCGGUUCAUCCAUGGCCACACAUGGCCCCUGGGAGGGGAGGGUGACGGUGGGGGCAGGGGCACGUGGGAAACCUCGGCAGAUGGCCUGCGGCUUACGUGAACCCAAAGCCACUCUAAAUAAAGGCUAGUUUCUACAACGCCUCCA
rnacentral:lncRNA from 1 species